rnacentral:rRNA from 1 species
CGUGUAGGCGGCCGACUAAGUCUGAUGUGAAAUACCCGCUUUUAAGGUGGGUCGUGCAUUGGAAACUGGAUGGCUAGAGUGCGGAAGAGGUAAGUGGAAUUCCCAGUGUAGCGGUGAAAUGCGUAGAGAUUGGGAGGAACACCAGUGGCGAAGGCGACUUACUGGCCGCAACUGACGCAGAGGCGCGAAAGCGUGGGGAGCAAACA